GAAGUUUGGACAAUGGGCGAAAGCCUGAUCCAGCAAUGCCGCGUGCAGGAUGAAGGACUUCGGGUUGUAAACUGCUUUUGUACGGAACGAAAAGCUUUGGGUUAAUACCCUGGAGUCAUGACGGUACCGUAAGAAGAAGCACCGGCCAAAUAAGUGCCAGCAGCCGCGGUAAUACGUAGGGUGCAAGCGUUAAUCGGAAUUAAUGGGAGGAAAGCGUGCGCGGGCGGUUUUUUAAGGCAGAGUUGAAAUCCCGGGGCUCAACCGGGGAACUGCCUUUGUGACGGCAAGGCAGAGUACGGCAGAGGGGGGUGGAAUUCCGCGUGUAGCAGUGAAAUGCGUAGAUAUGCGGAGGAACACCGAUGGCGAAGGCAACCCCCUGGGCCUGUACUGACGCUCAUGCACGAAAGCGUGGGGAGCAAACA
rnacentral:rRNA from 1 species